AGCCUAUCAGCUAGCUCACACACUAAAAGCAAGCUUUACAUAUUUAUACCCCUAAAUAUACCACCACUAAGAAACAAAACAUUUACCCACCCUAGUACAG
rnacentral:rRNA from 1 species